GAAGUGUAGGCGGAAGAGGGCGCGGAGAGCGGCGGGAGGGAGUUUUGAGGGGUCCCCGGGAUGGAGCCCCCCCCGCAGGAGCCAGUGCCCCAGCCCAGUGCCAUGGACGCCCUGCACCAGGCUGGCAUCCACGCCGCCGUGGCCCUGCAGGCUGGGCCGCCCUGGCUGGAGCAGUUCUGGCUGCUGCUGAGCUCGCACCUGGGCCCCGGCUCCAUCUACACCGUGUGCUUCCCGCUGGCCCGCGGCCUGGACGAGCGCGUGUCCCUCAUGGUGCUCUGGAUCGCCCUGCUGGCCGAGUGGCUCAACGUGGUGCUCAAGUGGUUCCUGUUCGGGGAGCGCCCGUACUGGUGGAUGCACGAGUCAGGGAUGGCUGAGCGGGAGCAGCUCCCCCUGCGCCAGUUCCCGGUCACCUGUGAGACGGGACCAGGGAGCCCCUCGGGGCACUGCAUGAUCCUGGGGGCGGCCCUGUGGCCCGUUGUCACCGCCCUGAGCGAGGCAGUGGCCAGGUGCAGCCGGAGCCGGCUGCUGAGGCUGCUCCCGUUCCUGCUCUACCUCCUCCUGCUGGCGGCCAUGGGGCUCUCCCGGAUCUUCGUCCUGGCCCAUUUCCCCCACCAGGUGAUCUCCGGCUCCCUGGCAGGGCUGGCUCUGGGCUGGGGGCUGCAGCGCUGGCCCCCCAACUUCCUCAAGGUUCGCUUCUUCCUGCUGACGGCUCUGGGGCUGGUGCUGAGCGCGCUGGCCCUGCACGGGCUGGCCACGGCCGCGGGGCUGGACCUGGACUGGUCCCUCCGCCGGGCCAGCUCCCGCUGCUCGGACCCGGCGUGGCUGCGGCCCGAGACGCGGCCCUGGGCCUCGCUGUGCCGGGUGGGCGGCAGCGCGCUGGGCCUGGCCGUGGCCGCCUGGCUGCCCCUGAGCCGCCGCGCCGCCGAGGAGCUGCGGCUGCUGGAGCCGCCGCUGGGCAGCGCCGCGCUGGGGCUGCUGGCGCUCGACGUGCUGCACAAGCUGCCCAAGAGCCACCACACCGCCCUGUGGUACCUGAACGUGGGGGCUCGCUACGCGCUGGGCCCCGUGCUGGUGGGGACCCUGCUGCCCCUGCUCAUCCUCACCCUGCGGCGGCUCCGCGAGACCCCCUAGAGCCGCCCUCGGUGUCGGGGAGAGGGGGGGGUCUGCUCCCGGUUCGUCCCCGCCUGUACCGAGGACCCCCGGAUUGAGUGGGGGGUGUCUGCUCUGUUCCAGUUCAUCCCCACCCUUCCUUUCCUCCAGGACCCCAGAUUGAGUGGGGGGUCUGUGCUCUGUUCCCAGUUCAUCCUCACCCUCCCUUUCCUCCAGGGACCCUCAAAUUGAGUGGGGGGUCUGUGCUCUGUUCCCAUUCACUCUCACACUCCUUCUCCCCAAACUGAGCAUUGUCCCAGUUCAUGCUCCCCCUCCCCUGCCCCAGGGACCCCCCCCCUCACCCCGGGCAGGGGUCCCUGAGCCCCUCCCCUGCCCCUGGGGGUGCCCAGCGGGGUCUGGGGACACAGCCCAGGGACAGCCCCGGCGCGGGGACACGGAGCUGCCACCCCCUCCCCAGCUGUCCCCACCCCUCUGCAGCAGGGAUGGGACCCCCCCCCAUGGAUGGGACCCCCCCAAUGGAUGGGACCCCCCCUCAGCCCGGUGCGUGCGGGGCCGCCCCCGUUUGGAAUCAAAUAAAGCAGCAGAACCGAGCCGGGCCCCGAGU